GGAAAGUGCUCGUCACAGCCUGAUGACCACAGCAGCGAGAGAACUGACUCCUGGCGUUGUCUUCUGACCACACAGACACAAUAAGAAAAUAAAUCUUUAAAAAUCAAGAUAGUAAGACAAACAUUAGAAUGCUGCUGUUUUAUUGAAAUAUCUAUUUGUAACGGUAUGCUGCGUGUUUGCGGUCCCCUCAGAGUGCCGCUGGAGUUGCAGACAGUUGUGAGCUGCCUGGGGUGGGUGCUGUAAGCUGAACUUGGGCCUCUGGAAGAGCAACAUGGUCUCUUAAGUUCUGGGUCAUCUUCCAGCGCAACU